rnacentral:rRNA from 1 species
CAGUCGAACGAAGCGAUGGAGAACGGAGAUUUCGGUUGAAGUUUUCUAUUGACUCAUUGACGGACGGGUGAGUAACGCGUGGGUAACCUGCCCUAUACAGGGGGAUAACAGUUAGAAAUGACUGCUAAUACCGCAUAAGCGCACAGCUUCGCAUGAGGUGGUGUGAAAAACUGAGGUGGUAUAGGAUGGACCCGCGUUGGAUUAGCUAGUUGGUGAGGUAACGGCCCACCAAGGCGACGAUCCAUAGCCGGCCUGAGAGGGUGAACGGCCACAUUGGGACUGAGACGCGGCCCAAACUCCUACGGGAGGCAGCAGUGGGGAAUAUUGCACAAUGGGGGAAACCCUGAUGCAGCGACGCCGCGUGAAGGAAGAAGUAUCUCGGUAUGUAAACUUCUAUCAGCAGGGAAGAAAGUGACGGUACCUGACUAAGAAGCCCCGGCUAAUUACGUGCCAGCAGCCGCGGUAAUACGUAAGGGGCAAGCGUUAUCCGGAUUUACUGGGUGUAAAGGGAGCGUAGACGGUUUGGCAAGUCUGAUGUGAAAGGCAUGGGCUCAACCUGUGGACCGCAUUGGAAACUGUCAGACUUGAGUGCCGGAGAGGCAAGCGGAAUUCCUAGUGUAGCGGUGAAAUGCGUAGAUAUUAGGAGGAACACCAGUGGCGAAGGCGGCCUGCUGGACGGUAACUGACGUUGAGGCUCGAAAGCGUGGGGAGCAAACAGGAUUAGAUACCCUGGUAGUCCACGCUGUAAACGAUGAAUACUAGGUGUCGGGUGGCAAAGCCAUUCGGUGCCGCAGCAAACGCAAUAAGUAUUCCACCUGGGGAGUACGUUCGCAAGAAUGAAACUCA